rnacentral:tRNA from 1 species
GCCCACGUAGCUCAAUCGGCAGAGCAGCGCAUUCGUAAUGCGCAGGUUAUCAGUUCAAGUCUGAUCGUGGGCUCCA